rnacentral:rRNA from 1 species
AUGUACGGAGGGGAGGCCAGCCGGAUGAAGGAUAUCUCAGAUAGCAGAGGGAAGGAGACAGGAGAAGAUGUGCCGUGGGCGGCAGCGUCGACGAGGGGGGAAGCCAGCAGCAGCUUCUUCGGAGGAAGGCGCUCGGCCGGGAUACCGAGGCAGAGGGAAGUACGCGCCUCUAGGGGCGGCAUGCUCACCGGUCGACACAAACGUCCCCUUGUGUGUCCGGCGAGUGCGCCGGCACCAGCGCUGCAUCACCAGCAUCGUUGGAUUGAGCGUGUGUCAAGGAUGCAACAUGCAUGGAGUUCCAUCUCUCAGGUUAGCAUAAUACUAAAUACAUACAUCUAUUUCUCUUGUGUACCAGGUGAGGAAACACAUGAACGUACAAGACUCCUGGAGCAGUACAUGGAUGAGUUGCCGCAGCUCCUCCUUCGUGCCUCGUCUGGGCAGCAGAUGUGCUGGCCCUGGACACGGAGGAUGGAACAUGCACAGGAGGGAGGCACAGGAGGAGAAGAGGGCUACGUACGGGAGAAGGAGACGUGCCCGUCGCGGCAGCGUCCAAAGAACUCACAAACACACCCAGGCGUGGCCGGCGACGUUUGUACCCGAUAA